UACGGGGGGGGCAAGCGUUGUUCGGAAUUACUGGGCGUAAAGGGUUUGUAGGUGGCUUGCUAAGUCAGACGUGAAAUCCCUCAGCUUAACUGGGGAACUGCGUCUGAUACUGGUGAGCUUGAGUGCAGGAGAGGAACGCGGAAUUCCAGGUGUAGCGGUGAAAUUCGUAGAUAUCGGGAGGAACACCUGUGGCGAAGGCGGCCACCUGGAAGAUUACUGACGCUGAGACGCGAAAGCGUGGGGAGCAAACAGG
rnacentral:rRNA from 1 species